rnacentral:rRNA from 1 species
CCUACGGGCGGCAGCAGUGGGGAAUAUUGCACAAUGGGGGAAACCCUGAUGCAGCGACGCCGCGUGAGCGAUGAAGUAUUUCGGUAUGUAAAGCUCUAUCAGCAGGGGAGAAAAUGACGGUACCUGAGUAAGAAUCCCCGUCUAACUACGUUCCAGCAGCCGCGGUAAUACGUAGGGGGCAAGCGUUAUCCGGAUUUACUGGGUGUUAAGGGAGCUUAGAGGGCGUUGCAAGCCAGUUGUGAAAGGCGGGGGCUCAACCCCGGGACUGCAAUUGAAACUGUACAGCUGGAGUGUAGGAGAGGCAGGCGGAAUUCGUGGUGUAGCGGUGAAAUGCGUAGAUAUCACGAGGAACCCCGAUGGCGAAGGCAGCCUGCUGGACGGUGACUGACGUUGAGGCUCGAAAGCGUGGGGAGCAAACAGGAUUAGAUACCCUAGUAGUC